GUUUGCUCCAGGAGUACCUGAGCCAACUCGCAAGAGAGGCAGGAUCCCAAGGAAUGACCGAUAACUAGAGUGAAGUCGUAACAAGGUAGCCGUAGGUGAACCUGCAGAAGGAUCA
rnacentral:rRNA from 1 species